AACGAACGCUGGCGGCAGGCUUAACACAUGCAAGUCGAACGCCCCGCAAGGGGAGUGGCAGACGGGUGAGUAACGCGUGGGAACGUGCCCUUCGCUUCAGGAUCGCCUCGGGGAACUGGGAGUAAUACUGAAUACGCCGUAUUGGGAAAGAUUUAUCGGCGAAGGAUCGGCCCGCGUUAGAUUAGGUAGUUGGCGUGGUAAUGGACCACCAAGCCUACGACCUAUAGCUGGUCUGAAAGGAUGAUCAGCCACACUGGGACUGAGACACGGCCCAGACUCCUACGGGAGGCAGCAGUGGGGAAUCUUGGACAAUGGGCGCAAGCCUGAUCCAGCCAUGCCGCGUGAGUGAAGAAGGCCUUAGGGUUGUAAAACUCUUUCGCCGGAGAAGAUAAUGACGGUAUCCGGAGAAGAAGCCCCGGCUAACUUCGUGCCAGCCGCCGCCGUAACAC
rnacentral:rRNA from 1 species